AUAUUCAAUAUGUAAUCUUGCUGAAAACUCUUAGGAAAAUGGGAAUUGGUGAAUACUUACUCUAUCGGGGGACCCCAACCCCUGGUUGUGGGGGUACCGGUCUGCAGCCUGUUAGGAACCAGGCCUCAGAGCAGGAGGUGAGUGGUGGGCGAGCGAGCAUUACCACCUGAGAUCAGCAGCGCCAUUAGAUUCCCAAAGGAGGGCGAACCCUAUUGGGAACCUUGCAUGCAAGGGAUCUGGGUUGCAUGCUCCUGAUGAGAAUAUAAUGCUGAUGAUCUGAGUUGGAACACUUCCAUUCCCAAAGCAUCACAUCCCCCCCACUCCCCAUUCGUGGAAAAAUUGUCUUCCAGGAAACUGGUCCCUCAUGCCAAAAAGGUUGAGGACCACUGCAGAUGAUAAAAUAUAUUAAAUCCACCCUCACACCUAAGAGGAUGCAUGCAUAUUGGUUCAGUGCACAGACUUGGGGCUAAAUGUUUCCAGAUUGUGGCACACACAGAAUAUGGGCUUCUCAGGCUGGCUCAGUCCCACUGGUCACCCUGGGGCCAGAGGUCAGUACCCAUUUGCAACUCUGUGGCUCACUGGGUGGGAAACGCUGGUAUAAAGAAUGACAAACAAACAAACAACAACAAAAGACCAGCAACUCAGCAGAAAAGCAGACAAAGGAUAUGAACAGACAAUUGAUAAAAGAAAAUAGAAAUAGGCUUUAAUAUACUCAAGCUCAUUAAUUAUAAGAGAAUAAUAAAUGCAACUACCUAUCAUAUUGCCAAAAUUCCAAAAGUUGAAUGACACAUAAUGUUGGUCACGGGUGGGGAAACAUACAUUUAAUUCAAUCCCAAUUAUAUUGUUAACAAAUUUGGAGGGAGCGGCAGGUGCAGGCAGGACCAGGAAAUCCUAGAGGGAAAUCAAACUGAAACAGUGUCUUUAGGGGGGAAACAGAAUAGAUAUCAACAUUAUGAAUGCACACUCCCGUGAUACAGAAAUUCUACUUCCAGAAACUUACUCUACAAAUGUUUACGUAGA
rnacentral:lncRNA from 10 species